AUGAAAAAUUCUCUUGUGUAAUGAUUAUUUGUUUAUUUUACUUACAGUGUCUGAUACAUGUAGUUGCAGUCUGUCUUUUGAAGCUGUAGAAAUAACAAGAAAGAGGCUGACAUAGUGUUUUGGUAGGGAAAAGUUUGAGUAUGUACAUGUACAGUUGUUUGACCUGUCUUACCCUGUGGCAGUCCAAGAAGAUGUUACCAUUAUGAAAAAUGCAGGAGAACUUGAAGACAAUGGUUAGUGCAGAAGGGAAAUAAAGUUAUGACAAAAGUAACAGAUAGAAAUAAG